rnacentral:rRNA from 1 species
AGAGUUUGAUCAUGGCUCAGGAUGAACGCUAGCGGCAGGCCUAAUACAUGCAAGUCGAGGGGCAGCGCGGUGUAGCAAUACACUGGCGGCGACCGGCAAACGGGUGCGGAACACGUACGCAACCUUCCUUUCAGCGGGGAAUAGCCCAGAGAAAUUUGGAUUAAUACCCCGUAAGAUGGUGGUGAGGCAUCUCACGGCCAUAAAAGCUCCGGCACUGAGAGAUGGGCGUGCGUCUGAUUAGGUAGUUGGUGAGGUAACGGCUCACCAAGCCGACGAUCAGUAACUGGCGUGAGAGCGCGACCAGUCACACGGGCACUGAGACACGGGCCCGACUCCUACGGGAGGCAGCAGUAAGGAAUAUUGGUCAAUGGACGCAAGUCUGAACCAGCCAUGCCGCGUGGAGGAUGAAGGUCCUCUGGAUUGUAAACUUCUUUUAUCUGGGAAGAAAUCACUUUUUUCUAAAGGUGUUGACGGUACCAGAUGAAUAAGCACCGGCUAACUCCGUGCCAGCCGCCGCGGUAAUAC